GGGUUGUGAGGUUAAGCGACUAAGCGUACACGGUGGAUGCCCUGGCAGUCAGAGGCGAUGAAGGACGUGCUAAUCUGCGAAAAGCGCCGGCGAGGUGAUAUGAACCUUUGACCCGGCGAUGUCCGAAUGGGGAAACCCAGUGCAAUCCGUUGCACUAUCGUUAACUGAAUACAUAGGUUAACGAGGCGAACCGGGGGAACUGAAACAUCUAAGUACCCCGAGGAAAAGAAAUCAACCGAGAUUCCCCCAGUAGCGGCGAGCGAACGGGGAGCAGCCCGGAGUCUGAAUCAGCUUGUGUGUUAGUGGAACGGUCUGGAAAGUCCGACGGUACAGGGUGAUAGUCCCGUACACGAAAGCACACAUGCUGUGAACUCGAAGAGUAGGGCGGGACACGUGGUAUCCUGUCUGAAUAUGGGGGGACCAUCCUCCAAGGCUAAAUACUCCUGACUGACCGAUAGUGAACCAGUACCGUGAGGGAAAGGCGAAAAGAACCCCGGCGAGGGGAGUGAAAAAGAACCUGAAACCGUGUACGUACAAGCAGUGGGAGCCUCUUUAUGGGGUGACUGCGUACCUUUUGUAUAAUGGGUCAGCGACUUAUAUUCUGUAGCAAGGUUAACCGUAUAGGGGAGCCGAAGGGAAACCGAGUCUUAACUGGGCGUUAAGUUGCAGGGUAUAGACCCGAAACCCGGUGAUCUAGCCAUGGGCAGGUUGAAGGUUGGGUAACACUAACUGGAGGACCGAACCGACUAAUGUUGAAAAAUUAGCGGAUGACCUGUGGCUGGGGGUGAAAGGCCAAUCAAACCGGGAGAUAGCUGGUUCUCCCCGAAAGCUAUUUAGGUAGCGCCUCGUGAACUCAUCUUCGGGGGUAGAGCACUGUUUCGGCUAGGGGGCCAUCCCGGCUUACCAACCCGAUGCAAACUACGAAUACCGAAGAAUGUUAUCACGGGAGACACACGGCGGGUGCUAACGUCCGUCGUGAAGAGGGAAACAACCCAGACCGCCAGCUAAGGUCCCAAAGUCAUGGUUAAGUGGGAAACGAUGUGGGAAGGCACAGACAGCCAGGAUGUUGGCUUAGAAGCAGCCAUCAUUUAAAGAAAGCGUAAUAGCUCACUGGUCGAGUCGGCCUGCGCGGAAGAUGUAACGGGGCUAAACCAUGCACCGAAGCUGCGGCAGCGACGCUUAUGCGUUGUUGGGUAGGGGAGCGUUCUGUAAGCCGUUGAAGGUGUCCUGUGAGGGGUGCUGGAGGUAUCAGAAGUGCGAAUGCUGACAUAAGUAACGAUAAAGCGGGUGAAAAGCCCGCUCGCCGGAAGACCAAGGGUUCCUGUCCAACGUUAAUCGGGGCAGGGUGAGUCGACCCCUAAGGCGAGGCCGAAAGGCGUAGUCGAUGGGAAACAGGUUAAUAUUCCUGUACUUGGUGUUACUGCGAAGGGGGGACGGAGAAGGCUAUGUCAGCCGGGCGACGGUUGUCCCGGUUUAAGCAUGUAGGCGGAGGUUCCAGGUAAAUCCGGUACCUUAUUAACGCUGAGGUGUGAUGACGAGGCACUACGGUGCUGAAGUGAUAAAUGCCCUGCUUCCAGGAAAAGCCUCUAAGCAUCAGGUAACACGAAAUCGUACCCCAAACCGACACAGGUGGUCAGGUAGAGAAUACCAAGGCGCUUGAGAGAACUCGGGUGAAGGAACUAGGCAAAAUGGUGCCGUAACUUCGGGAGAAGGCACGCUGAUGUGUAGGUGAAGUCCCUGCGGACGGAGCUGAAAUCAGUCGAAGAUACCAGCUGGCUGCAACUGUUUAUUAAAAACACAGCACUGUGCAAACACGAAAGUGGACGUAUACGGUGUGACGCCUGCCCGGUGCCGGAAGGUUAAUUGAUGGGGUUAGCGGCAACGCGAAGCUCUUGAUCGAAGCCCCGGUAAACGGCGGCCGUAACUAUAACGGUCCUAAGGUAGCGAAAUUCCUUGUCGGGUAAGUUCCGACCUGCACGAAUGGCGUAAUGAUGGCCAGGCUGUCUCCACCCGAGACUCAGUGAAAUUGAACUCGCUGUGAAGAUGCAGUGUACCCGCGGCAAGACGGAAAGACCCCGUGAACCUUUACUAUAGCUUGACACUGAACACUGGUCCUUGAUGUGUAGGAUAGGUGGGAGGCUUUGAAGCGUGGACGCCAGUCUGCGUGGAGCCAACCUUGAAAUACCACCCUUUAAUGGCUGGUGUUCUAACGUAGACCCGUAAUCCGGGUUGCGGACAGUGUCUGGUGGGUAGUUUGACUGGGGCGGUCUCCUCCCAAAGAGUAACGGAGGAGCACGAAGGUUGGCUAAUCCUGGUCGGACAUCAGGAGGUUAGUGCAAUGGCAUAAGCCAGCUUGACUGCGAGCGUGACGGCGCGAGCAGGUGCGAAAGCAGGUCAUAGUGAUCCGGUGGUUCUGAAUGGAAGGGCCAUCGCUCAACGGAUAAAAGGUACUCCGGGGAUAACAGGCUGAUACCGCCCAAGAGUUCAUAUCGACGGCGGUGUUUGGCACCUCGAUGUCGGCUCAUCACAUCCUGGGGCUGAAGUAGGUCCCAAGGGUAUGGCUGUUCGCCAUUUAAAGUGGUACGCGAGCUGGGUUUAGAACGUCGUGAGACAGUUCGGUCCCUAUCUGCCGUGGGCGCUGGAGAAUUGAGGGGGGCUGCUCCUAGUACGAGAGGACCGGAGUGGACGCAUCACUGGUGUUCGGGUUGUCAUGCCAAUGGCACUGCCCGGUAGCUAAAUGCGGAAGAGAUAAGUGCUGAAAGCAUCUAAGCACGAAACUUGCCCCGAGAUGAGUUCUCCCUGAGACCUUGAGUCUCCUGAAGGAACGUUGAAGACGACGACGUUGAUAGGUCGGGUGUGUAAGCGCAGCGAUGCGUUGAGCUAACCGAUACUAAUGAACCGUGAGGCUUAACCUUACAACGCCGAAGCUGUU
rnacentral:rRNA from 1 species